rfam:Picea glauca, whole genome shotgun sequence.
GAACAUCACUUGGACAUGGGUUAGUCGAUCCUAAGAGAUGGGGAAUCCUUGUAUCAAGGGUGCACUCUGCAUGAACAUCGAAAGAGAAUUGGGUUAAUAUUCCCAAACUGGGACAUGGUGGUGGAUGAUAGUGUUAGGAAAUCUGUAGAUGUCAUCGAGGGCCUGGGAAGAGUUAUCUUUUAUUUUUAAUGACUUUCCCACCCUGAAAUCGGUUCAACCGGAGAUAGGUUCCAACAUAUGGAAGAGCACCACACGUCUUGCGGUGUUUGGUGCCCCCUCGGUGGCCAUUGAAAAUAUGGAGAACCAAGUACCAUCCAUGCCUGAUCAUACUCAUAUCUGCCUCCUUGGAUUUUUCAAUGCCC